UUUGGCAUUUUCACAAACGUUUCCGGGACUUAAAUAUCCUCCAUUGACAGCUUAUCACGUGCAAAGAACGUGUUUGAAACAAGUUAACAUAUGGCAAAAACUACAAAAAUAUUAUUGUCAUAUUGUGUGCCCAAAGUUCAUUACAAACAAGUACAGCAAAAACUACUCUCACAAGAAGAUUGUACGACUAAUUGCAUGCGUCUAUGAAACGCCAGAAAUGAGUCUAGAUAUCAUGAAAUAGAAGUGCAACAAAAAGAAAAAAUCAUCAGAUUCCCUUCUCAAGCAUUGCCCUAACCUUCAUUGGAAGGCCAUAGAGUCGAAUGAAUCCAGCUGCAUCAGCCUGAUCAUAUAUUUUUCCACUCUCAAAGGAUGAGAUGUCUUGCCUGUACAGACUAUAGGGGCUUGUGCGACUGGUUACUGAUGCAGAUCCCUUGUACAACUUCACUGUUACAGAUCCAGUUGUUUUCUCCGUGAUCUUCCCCAUGAAUGCAUCCAUAGACUCGCGCAAUGGGUCAAACCACCUGCCUGCAUACACUAGUUCUGCAUACUUGAGGGCAAGUGAAUCUUUAACUUGCAUUGUUUCUCGAUCAAGAGUUAAGGACUCCAGCUCACGAGCAGCAGUGAAGAGAAUGGUUCCUCCAGGAGUUUCAUAGACUCCACGGCUUUUCAUACCAACAAGACGGUUUUCAACCAUGUCAAUACGACCAAUACCAUGUCUCCCACCAAUUUCAUUGAGCUGAGAAAGAAGAGAAGCUGGGGAAAGCUUCUUCCCAUUUACUGAAACUGGGAGUCCCGACUCUAUACCAAUCUCUACAUACUCUGGUUGAUUAGGUGCAUCUUCUGGAUCAACAGACAUCAUGUACAUAUCUUUCUUUGGCUUAUUAGCUGGGUCUUCCAAGAUAUCACCCUCAUGGCUUAAGUGCCAUAAGUUUCUGUCUCUGCUGUAUAUGGAUUUCUUUGUCACAGGUACAGGCACAUUAUGUUUCUGGGCAUAUUCAAUGGCAUCUUCCCUCCCCUUGAUAUCCCAUUCUCGCCAAGGAGCCACAACAUUUAGUUCAGGAUUUAGUGCAAAGAACGUGAGUUCAAAGCGAACCUGAUCAUUUCCUUUUCCUGUGCAUCCAUGAGCAACAGCAUCAGCUCCAACUUCUUUUGCAACAUCCACCAUGGCCUGUCAUGCCAUUGAAAAUAUAAUUGAAAGUAGAUAAAAUCAACUUAUAACCGCCAUUAUGCAACCAUAUAAGCAUAAUUUAAAGUAUAAAAAAAAGGUAGAGACAGUGAGACACCUCCAUCAAAGCAAAGACCUAUUUCUUUUUAUUUCAUGAAUAAAAGAAAGGACUAGAAGAAGGCAUCAUAACAUCUUUUCUGGGAUUAGGAAAAGACUAGAAAAGGGCAAAUAUACUUCUAUUAGAACUACAAAUUAUAGUAUUAUUUUUCAUUAUUAUUGCAUGAUAUUUAUGUUAAUGCUCAGUAGGAUUUUAAAAUUAGAAAUACAAAUAUUAGUUGCCAACCUUGGCAAUUACAGGGCGUGCCAUUGAGGUCCCCAGCAAGUAUUUCCUUUCAUAUAUUGCACCAGCUCGCAAGCAAGGGAAAAUGUAAUCUCUCACAAAUUCUUCCUUUAAGUCCUUCACCACCAGCUGACAAGCCCCACUUGCCCUGGCCUUUUCUUCCAAGCCUUCGAAUUCUUUUAAUCCCUGACCAACGUCAGCAGUGAAGCAAACAACCUCACAACCAUAAUUUUCUCUUAACCAUGGAACAAUAACUGAGGUGUCUAAACCACCACUAUAGGCCAAAACAACCUUGUUUAAUCGGCCUCGUAGCCCUUUACUCUUUGAAGCUUCAUAUGUUUCCACUUCUCUAUCACUGGAUAAAACCGCUUGAAUGGCUUUAUUGCAACGGGUUCGAAGAACAUUGCGUGCACUACCCAAAAGAGCACAACCACGAAGAUCACUCCAUUUUGCCCCUAACACUUGAAAUGAAGUUACUGAUUUCUGAGUUGAGGAUGGUUUGUGAUUGUGCAGAGACCCAUCUCUCUUGUGGCCAUGAAAUUCGAGAUUGAGAGAGGAAUAUGGUGAUAUAGCCUUCAAUUGGGCCAUCGCUUCACUGUCUGUGCACUGAGUUUUGGAUUCUUAUCACCUCUUAUUUGCAGAAGCAACUGAAAAAUCGAAACCAAGUUUAGCCAAAGAGAAGCAAUAUUACUACUGCUUACUAGAUAAAAGAGCAGUAGGCUAUAAAAAGUAAAGCAGGUGAAUGACAUUGACAAAAGUGCCCUCUUUUGCUUGUGUCUCCUAUAUGCGAAAAUGCAGGUUUUCGGAGGGCAAUUUGUGGAGAAGACUAUGCAGGUUUUCGGAGAGCAAUUUGUGGAGAAGACCACCAAGCCCGAGGCUGGGUUAGGUUAAUCUUUGUAUUGAGAAGAAAACAAGAACAUGGAAGGAACA
rnacentral:misc_RNA from 1 species